UACGGAGGGGGCGAGCGUUGUCCGAAGUUACUGGGCGUAAAGCGCGCGUAGGCGGAACGUUAAGUCCGGUCUGAAAGCCCCCGGCUCAACCGGGGAGGGUGGCUGGAAACUGGCGUUCUUGAGGGCGAGAGAGGAGGGUGGAAUUCCUGGUGUAGCGGUGAAAUGCGUAGAGAUCAGGAGGAACACCCGGGGCGAAGGCGGCCCUCUGGCUCGACCCUGACGCUGAGGCGCGAAAGCGUGGGGAGCGAACGGG
rnacentral:rRNA from 1 species